ACGUUUGGUGAAAAAAUUUGAGUCCACAUACAUGCUACAUAAUGUUCCUGUGCCAGUGAGACAAAGAAAUGCACGAAGUGUAAAAAAUAUUGCUGCCGCAAGCGCAUCAAUUCAAGAUGACCCAAAUUAGUCUCUUACACGCCGUUUCUCAAUAGUUGGGCAUCUCUGUGACAUCGUUGUGGCGAAUUUUGCGAAAAGAUCUUGGCCUACACCCGUAUAAGAUCAAGUUGACACAAGAAAUGAAACCGUCGGCUCAUGCGUCUUAGCAAUUUGGAUCCUACAAGAGGACAUUACAAUGGAACAAGAUAUAUUGUCGUUGGUAUCAAUAAGAAGUUCAUAAAUGGAUUUGUAAACGGGGUAGUAUCAGGGUGCUCGAGUCCUGAUUCCAAGAUUGAAGUUUAUAACUUCAGGGGAUUAUCCAUUCCGUUUUUCCACGCUACUUCUCUCUUUCCUAGAUUACUUACUUACUCUGAUGAUAACAAAAAAUUACCAGUUCUGCAUCUGACAAGUUUUUAUCCUACAGCGAACUGAGAUCUUCAUUUAUUGGAUUCACAUUUUUCAUCGGGCCAUCAUAUUACCUUUCUCUCUUUAUUUAUCCUCAUAAGUGAUUUUCAGCCAAAAGAGAUGAUAAAUAUUAUCAGUUACGCUUCCAAUACGAAGAUAGUUAAUCCUGAACUGAGGAGAAAGGGAUAAGAAAAUAGAAACGUGGAGUCCUUAAAAAGGUUUUCUAUCCAUCGAAAUGUAAUGGACUUCAUUGGUCCUAGCGUGAAGUGCCAAUCAUCAUAAUAUAUCAAAUGUGAAAUUUGUUAAAAGCUAAUAAAUAACAAUAUUUAAUUUUA
rnacentral:lncRNA from 1 species